rnacentral:tRNA from 1 species
GGCUGGUUAGCUCAGUCGGUUAGAGCGUGGUGCUGAUAACACCAAGGUUGCGGGUUCGAUCCCCGCUCGGUCC